rnacentral:rRNA from 1 species
UACGUAGGGGGCAAGCGUUGUCCGGAAUUACUGGGCGUAAAGAGCUCGUAGGUGGUUUGUCGCGUUGUUCGUGAAAACUCACAGCUCAACUGUGGGCGUGCGGGCGAUACGGGCAGACUAGAGUACUGCAGGGGAGACUGGAAUUCCUGGUGUAGCGGUGGAAUGCGCAGAUAUCAGGAGGAACACCGGUGGCGAAGGCGGGUCUCUGGGCAGUAACUGACGCUGAGGAGCGAAAGCGUGGGGAGCGAACAGG